rnacentral:rRNA from 1 species
CAGUCGCCACGGGAAUACGGAGGGGGCUAGCGUUGUUCGGAAUUACUGGGCGUAAAGCGCACGUAGGCGGCUUGGUAAGUUAGAGGUGAAAGCCUGGAGCUCAACUCCAGAAUUGCCUUUAAGACUGCCGAGCUAGUAGGUGAGAGAGGUAAGUGGAAUUCCGAGUGUAGAGGUGAAAUUCGUAGAUAUUCGGAAGAACACCAGUGGCGAAGGCGGCUUACUGGCUCAUUCUAGACGCUGAGGUGCGAAAGCGUGGGGAGCAAACAGGAUUAGAUACCCCUGUAGUCCCUGUCUCUUAUAC